GAAAGAUAAUUAAUAUGAUUAAAGGAGUAAAUAAAUAUUUUCUUUCUGCAAUUAUAAUUUUUAAUAUUAUUAAUUUAGUUUAUUCAAUUGAAGGCGAGCAAUAUUCAACAAUGUGCGAACUAAAUGGACAAUCAUGUAAAGGUCUUCUUAAAGUGUGUUGUGGUGACUAUGUUUGUGAUUCUUGUACAAAAACUUGUAUUAAACGCUCUGAUAUAAAAAAUGAUUGCAAUAAAAAUAAGAAUGAUAAUUCGGAUACUUUAGAAAAAUGGCUUGCAGAGAGGCAAGUGGUAUUUAAUUUUUAUUCAUGGUUCAACUCCUGCUCUUUCUGUUUUCCUGAUAUUUUCACGAUAAAUUUUAUUUCGUAAAAAAAAUAUAAAACAGGCAAAGAGGUAUUUGAUUUAAUUUCUAGUUGACCUUCUGUCAAAUUCAAAACUGAUUGUAAAAAAGAUAACGAAACAAAAAAAAUACGAACAAUCUUUAUAAUGAUAUUUAUUGAGCAAU